rnacentral:rRNA from 1 species
AGUGAACGCUGGCGGUAGGCCUAACACAUGCAAGUCGAACGGCAGCACAGUAAGAGCUUGCUCUUACGGGUGGCGAGUGGCGGACGGGUGAGGAAUACAUCGGAAUCUACUUUUUCGUGGGGGAUAACGUAGGGAAACUUACGCUAAUACCGCAUACUACCUACGGGUGAAAGCAGGGCAUCUUCGGACCUUGCGCGAUUGAAUGAGCCGAUGUCGGAUUAGCUAGUUGGCGGGGUAAAGGCCCACCAAGGCGACGAUCCGUAGCUGGUCUGAGAGGAUGAUCAGCCACACUGGAACUGAGACACGGUCCAGACUCCUACGGGAGGCAGCAGUGGGGAAUAUUGGACAAUGGGCGCAAGCCUGAUCCAGCCAUGCCGCGUGGGUGAAGAAGGCCUUCGGGUUGUAAAGCGCUUUUGUUGGGAAAGAAAAGCAGCAGGUUAAUACCCCGCUGUUCUGACGGUACCCAAAGAAUAAGCACCGGCUAACUUCGUG